UGUAGGUUGGCAGGUCUGGGUCCCCCAGCCAGUUUUCCUGUUCUGUGUCCAUGCCCUGUGGCUGACAUGAGUUUAGUAGUUCCACAUAGUCCAUCUCUAGCUGUCGUUCCAUGGCAGCCAAACGGUGGAGGUCUUGUCCCAGUCCCAUAGAUCUCGGGCCCUGUACCAUCUCACCUCGGUAAUAAAAGAUAGCCCAGUACCUUGACUCUGCUGGACUGCCAAAGUCGACGUCUUCUGCUAAGGCCUUCCACAACAGGCCAGGGCUAGUGUAGUUCUCCCCCUCCGGCUGGAUGCCCUCUGCCCUCCACGUCUCUGGCUGGACAGUGCACCACCAC